rnacentral:lncRNA from 10 species
AGGUGGAGGUAAUUGAAUCACUGGGGCAGUUUCCCGCAUACUGUUCUCGCGAUAGUGAGUGAGUCUCACGAGAUCUGUUGGUUUUAUAAAUGUCCGACAUUUCCCCUGUUGCACUCGCUUCAGUUUGCUGCCUUGUGAGGAAGGUGUCUGCUUCUUCUUUGCCUUCUGUCAUUAUUGUAAGUUUCCUGAGGCCUCCUCAGCAGUGCAGAACUGGCCUUCAUCAGCGAUGUGAAAUUCAAACCAGGCCAUCCCUGGAUAAAGUGGAGGGACUUGCCUGGGGUCCCAAGAUUUUGCUGUGAGAGAUCCAUCCAUUUGGAGGAGUCAGCUGCUUCCUGAACUUCAGGCCUUGAGGCAGGAGACAGCGUGUACCAUCUCCUGCCAUUCUGUUGAUAAACCUGGGAUGACUACGCCACACCCUGACAUUACAGCAUCUUGUUUUAUCUCCCUGAGAGUGCUACCAGCAAUGCCACCUCCAAGUGUAGCUGUUUCAGGUGUGGACCCUAACACUGGAUUCGUGUACCCAGCUCUGAUGCUGUCAUCCCUCUUGUGGAGUGAGUAAAAGGACUUUCCUUUGUUAUGGGAUGCUGGAUGCUGUAUGCUGUGGUUAGUUGCAC